GCAGCCGCUAACCAUAUCGGUGAGGCCGGGCGUGACCUCGGGCAUUGCCUUAGGCUGACCACUGCAUUGGUUGACGUCAUUGUAGCCGCCUCAGGCUAGCCGUGAGACAGGUCCCUGCCUCGGCCACCGCCUCAGGCUGGCCGUGAGCCAUGGGUUACUUUAGGGAAGCCACCGCCAUUAAAGGCCCCAGAAGAUUCGGAUCCGAUGCCACCGCCAAGCAGAUCACCAAAGGCAUCGACGUGCCUCGUCUCACCAUCAUCAUCACCGAUUUGCUCUCCGUCCCUUUGGUUAUCUUUUCUUAAUCUUCCACAUUCUAUCCCUAAUCAAAGGGUUGGCCCUGAGAAGUGAUUACUAGUUUAAAUAGAUAGAUUUUGUGAAAAUUUUCUGUUUGCAGGAUAUGAGUUUUUGUUUUUUCGCACCAAAUCUUAUUGCCGGAAAAAAAAUCGAUCUUGAUGCACAAAAUACCAUCUUGAAAACUUCAGUUUACCAGGAAAUUUAGAUCAACGAACUAUUUUACUGCCAUGGUAUGGUAGCAUUUAUGAGAUUCUUCUUGAAAUCCAGAUGGAAGCAGAGGAGCCCAUGUCACCAUCGGCACAAGGAACUUGGAAGCUGCCAACAAUGUGAAGCAAAACAUUCUACAGGGCAUCCAUCCCUUCUGCUAGAAUUGACAUCAUACAGAUUGAUGUUAGCUCACUCAGAUCUGUCAGAACCUUCGCCAACAAAUUCCUUAUGUCUUGAUUAACAACGCUGGUAUCAUGUACUGCCCGUUCCCACUCUCCGAGGAGAUGCAGUUUGCUACUAAUCAUCUUGGUCACUUUUUGUUGACAAAUCUUCUCCUAGAGAAAAUGAAAACCACAGCAGGGAGAACUGGGAUUGAAGGCUGCAUCGUGAAUCAAUCCUCGAUACGAUGAUAAAUUGGCGCACGGGCAGUCCAAAUUGACAAACAUCUUGCACUCCAAUGAGCCCGCGCGGCACUUGAAGGCCGAAGGUGCAAAUGUCACACCACAUUCUGUUCAUCCUGGUUUGGUUAGGACAAACUUGGAAAAACAUUCUCCCGUCUUCAUGGGCCUUAGUCGGCAAACAAGCAAAAGAAGAAAGGAAACAUAAUCACUGAAAAAACAAAAUAAUUAAGGUUGGUGAAGGUGGAGGAAAUUGAAAAUUCCUAUUAGAGGAAGUAAAUCUUUACAUAUUAAGUUUUGUGUUAAUUUAUAUGAUUUUCUUUCGGGUUAAAAAUGAUAUUUUUUUUGUUUGUUUAUUUUUUUGAUGCAGGAAAAAAAGAAGAAUGGAAGGAAAAGGAAGUGUCUGUCAAGGAAGAAGAGGAUGAUGAUUUAUUUAUUUUAUCUUUCCAUCGAUUUGAGACGGUUUGGUAGGGAUAUUUUCAUUUGAAUAUGAUGACUUGUUGAACUUGGAUAUUGGAUAAUGUUAGAUUAGAAAUGUUAUGUAUUUUUGAAUAUGAUAACUUGUAUGCAUGACUUGUAUGAAUAUGUUUGUUUUGACUUAUUUUGGUAUGAUUUCAUUUUGGAUA